rnacentral:tRNA from 1 species
GCCGGGGUGGCGGAAUCGGCAGACGCGGCGGACUUAAAAUCCGCGGCCGCGAGGCGUGUGGGUUCGACUCCCACCCCCGGCAC